rnacentral:lncRNA from 1 species
CAAAUCUUUGGAAUUAAACUAAAUCACAAAAUGAAAAGGACCUCCAAUAAAUUGACAUUUUAUAUUUUUGGCUGGCAAAAAAAUAUGUAUCUUUGCUGGAAUAUGUAAAUAAAAAUGCAAAUUGACAAAAACAUUGAAAUUGAAAUGCACAAAAGCAAAGCAAAGCAAAUUAGAAAACCUUAAACCAAAUGACAGCCUAGAAAUGGAACUGUUUUUAAUCAUUUAGGUUCAAAUGAUUGGCUGGAGAAAGGGCCAUUCUUUGAAUUUACAUGAUAAAAAACAGAACAUAAUUUAGGGGUCCAAAUACUGAAACUGAGAAAAAAAAAAUUACAAAAAAAAAUUGAGAAAAACAAUUAAAUUGAAAUAACAAUGAUACUCCCAAAAAAAAUUGGCAACCUUAGCGUAUUAGAUACCCCCAAAAACAAAAAUAACAAAGACCAAUUAAAGAAGGAGUUCAAAAUUUUAGAAUAGGCAGAUCAAACGUCUAGAUGCAUUUGGCUGUUCCCAUCUAAAAUUUUCAAACUGAAAAAAAACACACUAAAACCAGUUACACAACUGUAGAGCACAAUUUUUAAGGGUGCCACUGCAAUUGAAAUAACUUCUAGAUACAAUGAGAGAAAAAUAAAUUACAGUAAUUUGACAUGAGAAAAGAAACCACAUGAUUUGAAAUAACCCAUUGGUAAGCUAAGUUAUAAAAUGGUAAAAGCGAUGAUAUAUACCUAACACCCUGCUUGCUGUGAGCUAUAACAUCCAAGUUCCACUAUGUAACCCUCUGCAUAGCUGUGUAACCUCUGGUAGCGAAACCCCUGAGAAGGUUAAGAGCUCUGAUCAGAGAAGGCAAACCAAAAUCAUCUAGUUAGACAACCGCGCACACACACAGAGACACACAUGCCUUUCACAGAAUGGGAAUCCAGGUAAAACAAAAAAACGCAAAAAAUCAUUAAUAGUUGCAUUUAGCUUAAGUGCUUGAUAAUGUUCUGAAUUAUCAGCUGGAUAAAGCUGUUAAAAUGUGUUUUGGAAUCGGUCCUCUCACAGCAUGUUUAUCUACGCUAUUCUUGUUUAACUUCCUUUUAUUUAGAAUUAUGUUUUAGUGUACUUUUGAUGGUAUGAAGAUUUUUUCAAGCACACCAACUUAAGACGUAACAAUCACGCAUUCUAGUGUUAUUGUGGUCGUAUAUAUUCAAAGGACGUUAUAAUUAGAUAGCUAGAUUUAAUCCCAAUGUGCAAAAAAAAACAUGUAAGAACAGCCAUGAAACCAGUGUUAAUUAAUAUACCUAAAAAGUCAAAGGGCCAGUCUGAGAUUUCAAACAUGGAGAUUUACUUCAUUUUAAAAACUGCUAAAUACAUUGGUAACUGUUAAAAGCAUGAACUACAAAUAUGUAAAGAAAAAAGGCUUGCAAAUAAGUUUAAACGAUCAACUCUCAACUUAGCAUUGUUACUGUUUUUAAGUUGGAUGUUGGCUUCCUAACAUGGUAUUAAAAGGGAUUUAUAAGUGUGUGCAUUGUUAAAUCACCCAACACCAUGUGUUAAUCAAGUAAUUUAUAGCUAAAGAGCAAGAUAUGCCACACAAAACCUGUAUUUAGAUGCCAAUCACUAAAAGCUAAUAAAAAUUCCUAAUCUAACUAUCACUAUACUAACAGUUUGGAGAAGGAUCAGAACUUCUUGUCCAAAUUUGUGUUCAUUUUAUUUGAAUUGUCCAUCAGAGCUUAAGUGAAAGAAUGAUUAAAUAAACACAAUGGCAUGCCAAAGAAAAUAUACCCGCCUUUUAAACUUCAGUAAUGCAUAGUCUUGUUGUGGUUUUUGUUUUUUCUAAAGACCAGACUAAUAGAAUGGUCAACACAAACAUCCUAUCUAAUCAGAUCAUCGCAAAGACUAAAAUAUAAGCUCACAAAUAUAAUCCUAACACAAUCAGAUCACUGCCAACAAAAAAUAUCCUUUAUUAAAAACAUAAGUGCAUUGAGAAGGUGUAAAAAAGAGUAAUGACCAUAAAACUAAUGAUUUCAUUCAUCAGUCACAGAGACAAAUUGGUUUGUGGGCUUCACAUUGAGGGAUAAAGGGACUUAUCAAAAUAGAUCCCACUAACUUCCCUAUUUAAGAACAUAACAUGAUUUAGGUGAUUAAAACUCAUUUGAACAAUCAUGCAAAGUUGAGUGAAAACAAUUAACUAAUUAACCACUUACACCCUGCUCACAGUGAAAAGCAAUUUCGAAUAAACAGCCAUAUGAAUCCAGAUUCAUUAACAUGGAUGAUUGGCUGAUAAGAAUCCAGGGCACAGAUGAAACCUUGCUAAACUUGGCAUUUGGUAAUUCAAACAAUUAAAUGAAAGAACAAAAUUAUGUCCAAUCAUUCCCAAACAACCACUUUUGCCAUAAUUUUCUUCUUUCAUUCAAUUGUUUCAAUGACCAAAUGGCUAGUUUGCCACGGUUUCAUAUGUGCCCUAGAUUCUUGUAAAACAUGAAGUUUAAAGAAACAUGAAGCUUUAAAGUAACAGAAGCAUAAAUGAAGUAAAAUGGCAAUUGGGUUAACAAAUCUUGGAAUUAAAGUAAAUCACAAAAUGAAAAGCACCUCCAAUAAAUUGACAUUUAUAUUUUUGGCUGGCAAAAAAAUAUGUAUCUUUGAUGGAAUAUGCAAAUAAAAAUGCAAAUUGACAAAAACAUUGAAAUUGAAAUGCACAGAGGCAAAGCAAAUUAGAAAACCUUAAACCAAAUGACAGCCUAGAAAUGGAAGCAAAUGUGAACUGUUUUUAAUCAUUUAGGUUCAAAUGAUUGGCUGGAGAAAGGGCCAU